rnacentral:rRNA from 1 species
GACGUAGGGCGCGAGCGUUGUCCGGAUUUAUUGGGCGUAAAGAGCUCGUAGGCGGCUUGUCGCGUCGAAUGUGAAAACCCACGGCUCAACUGUGGGCUUGCAUUCGAUACGGGCAGGCUAGAGUUCGGUAGGGGAGACUGGAAUUCCUGGUGUAGCGGUGAAAUGCGCAGAUAUCAGGAGGAACACCCGGUGGGCGAAAGGGCGGGUCUC